GGGGAUGUAGCUCAGUGGUAGAGCACUAGUCUAGAAGAUGUGAAGACCUGGGUCCCAUCUCCA
rnacentral:tRNA from 1 species